CCUCUCCCCGACACACAGAUGUCAGUCUUGGAAAAGCCCCCUCAGGUGGGAGUGCCCCAAUUUGAACCAACCUAACUGAAAACAACAGACCAAGAGCUGGGGUAAACUCAGUGCCCCAAGAGCCCCACUUUGGAGCCGGCUGUUACACCUCUCCUCCAGCAGCACCCAGGGCAGCCAUCCCUGCUCAGUCAAGGUCAAGCUCUGCCCAAACUGAUGGGCUGAGACUAAAAAAAAAAGGAGACAACUUCUGUACCUAAACUAAACUCUCCUUUGCUGCCCACCAAAACGCAGAUGGAUUUAAUCCACUUUGGGUUAGUGGAGAUGCUGGUGUGGCACUGAAGUCCCCACGGGCAAUGCCCCCAGUGCCCCGCGCAGUGAAGCUGUUGAACACGAAGUCACCACAGCCUGUCCCCACGAAAAAGCAGCAGAGAAAGUUUUCAGCAUCUCCUAAACCAGCGUCGAAAUGGAUGUCAGGGACACAAGAGGCAGAAAGCAGCCAGUCCGUUUUUGUCACUGGGUCCAGCUGAGAUAUCGGGAGGGACAAACUGGCGCCAGGGAGGAGGAGGAGGAGAAGGGCAGAGCUGCUCCGCGCUCUCAGCGCAAAGCCGCUGGCGAAGAGGUGCUUGCGACAGGCACCUUGGGCCGGAGAAGGCAGGAGGUGGCCGCAGGCUCCCCGGCGCCUCUGAAGGAAGCCUGCCCGCUCGGAGGAGCUCCGCGCUGGGCGUGGGGGAAGAAACUCGAAAGAGAAGGAACUUACUCCGUGAUCCUCUUUGCCAGCUCGGUGCAGGCUGCCGUGGAGUUGGCCGAGAAGACUCGGUAGCCACUUCUGGCCGCGUUCAUCGCCGAAGAGUCAUGCAAGCCCCGCGGAGCUCGAAAACGAGGAGAAACAGAUUUAUAAGGCAACAACAGCUUCCGUGGCAUCCUUUUCUUCCUCCCCGCCUCGAUCGCCGCCCCUCAAGGGGUGGGGAAGAGGAGGAGGAGAGGGAACACUUCGCUACCUAUGGUCGUGCUGGUCCGCUCCGGUGGCAAAGUAUAAAAGGGGGAGGAGGAGGAAAAUAUGAUUAGGGAAAUAAGGUGCUGCUGCCACUGCCGCUGCAGCCUGGAGGGGACGAACGUGUGUGGGGUGCGCUGCGCUGCCUGCAGAGCGCCCCCCCCCGCCCCAGGAGCCAAGCCUGCGGUAGCCCCAACCCAAACCUGCCCCACGCUUACUCAGAGGCACCUCAGGGGAGGGCGAAACUCCAGCGCGAUGGAGGGAACGAGGCAGAGAGGGCGGUCCCUCGGCUGGGGAAGGGGUGCGUGAGCUGAGGCGGGGGAGGCUGGAACGGGAAGUGCUUCCCCGUGAUGCAGCGAGGGUAGAGGGGGUCCCUCUAACCAUACACCCUGGGGCAGGGUGUAUGGUGAUAGUGGGGGUCCCUACGAGAGCGGGGAGCGUCCUCUCCCCCCGCCAAGCCAAGCGAGUUCCGCCACCCGGCUAGAGCGCCGCUGCCCUCCACCGCCAUGCUUCCCCCCGCCCGGAGAGACCGCCCCCGGCGCCAUCUUAGGUGAGGGCAGCGCGGCCGCACCCCCUCCCAAGGAGAGGAAGGCUACCAGCAACUGCCCGAACAGCCCCGGUACCUAAAGAGGAAGCGUGAGAACAGCGUCAGCUCUCCCUCCUCGGUGGAAGUGCACCGCCUGCUCCCUGGGUGCAGUUAACAGCGCAGACAGCUGUUUCCCCGCUGCCCGGCGGUGAGACCCCAGUGAGGCGGCUUCACUGCCCGCACCCAAGAUGACAGCCGCUCCGGCGGAAGCCCCGCGGCGGCGCUCUAGCCGCGCUCGAUGGCAGGCGGGGCCGGUGCCGCCCCGUGCAGUUUAACCCUGCGUCCUCCAGGAGCCCGCAGCGGGCGGGCAGCUCUCUGCGCCGGGGUGCCUCUCGUGGCGGCAGCCCUGAGCAGGUGCCGCUGGAGACAAACUGGUCUGGUUGGCGAUGUCUCUGCUCACGCCAGGGAGGUCGGACGAGAUGACCUUUGAGGGUCCCUUCCAGUUUGUGCCAUCUGCAAAGCUGGUCCCUGCCCCAUUUCCCAAAGGGAACACUCGCUUUCAG